rnacentral:rRNA from 1 species
UUGACCUCGGAUCAGGUAGGAAUACCCGCUGAACUUACAACAGGGAUUGCCUUAGUAACGGCGAGUGAAGCGGCAACAGCUCAAAUUUGAAAUCUGGCCCUCGGGUCCGAAUUGUAAUUUGUAGAGGAUGAUUUUGGUGCGGUAUCUUCCGAGUUCCUUGGAACAGGACGCCUUAGAGGGUGAGAGCCCCGUACGGUUGAAUGCCUAGCCUCUGUAAAUCUCCUUCGACGAGUCGAGUAGUUUGGGAAUGCUGCUCUAAAUGGGAGGUAAAUUUCUUCUAAAGCUAAAUAUUGGCCAGAGACCGAUAGCGCACAAGUAGAGUGAUCGAAAGAUGAAAAGCACUUUGAAAAGAGGGUUAAAUAGCACGUGAAAUUGUUGAAAGGGAAGGAUUUGUGACCAGACUUUUUCUGGGCGGAUCAUCCGGGGUUCUCUCCGGUGCACUUUGCCCAGUAAAGGCCAGCAUCGAUUUUCGGCGGCGGAUAAAAGCAGUGGGAAUGUGGCUCCCUACGGGGAGUGUUAUAGCCCAUUGUAUAAUACGCUGCUGGGGAUCGAGGUACGCGCUUCUGCAAGGAUGCUGGCGUAAUGGUUAUCAAUCA